rnacentral:tRNA from 1 species
AGGGGCUGUGGCUCAGUGAUAACACGACUGCUUGGCAUGCAGAAGGUCUCAGGUUCAAUCCCUGGCACCCCUA